ACUAUUUUGACAGAAAAAAUGUGAUGGUUUUAGAAAUCAUUUAUAUAUAGUUAUUAUAUAGAUAGUA
rnacentral:tRNA from 1 species